rnacentral:rRNA from 1 species
UGAAAGUGCAGCCUAAAGUGGGUGAUAAACUUCAUCUAAGGCUAAAUAUCGACGCGAAAUCGAUAGCAAACAAGUACCGUGAGGGAAAGUUGCAAAGAACUUUGAAGAGAGAGUUCAAGAGAACGUGAAAUCGCUGAAGUGGAACCGGAGAGAGUUAACAUAACUUGGUAGCUAUAUUCUCUAUAGUCGCUUAGCUGUGGCUUUGGGGGGUGGACGCUACCUGUUGUUGCGCUGACUGCGUUGAUCAUGCUUUCCUAACAAUGUAGUGUUGCCCACAUUGUGGUGUCUUGCUUAUUGGGAGGUUUGUCAUGGUUAACGUCAAGCCUUAGUUUCUAGGGAGUCAGUGUGAAAGUUAACCACCUUUCCGACCCGUCUUGAAACACGGACCGAGGAGUGUAAUUUACACGCGAGUCAAAGGGCUGAGGAAACCUUAUGGCAUAAUGAAAGUAAAGACCGGUUAACCGGUUGACAUGGGAUCCGACUGAACUUCUUCGAAACGGAGCACCAUGGCCCUGUCUUGUCUGCUUGCAGAUGGGCAGCGGUAGAGCGUGUAGGUUGCGACCCGAAAGAUGGUGAACUAUGCUUGAGCAGGACGAAGCCAGAGGAAACUCUGGUGGAAGUCCGUAUCGGUUCUGACGUGCAAAUCGAUCGAUAGACUUGAGUAUAGGGGCGAAAGACUAAUCGAACCGUCUAGUAGCUGGUUCUCUCCGAAGUUUCUAGGGAAUAGCUGA